rnacentral:lncRNA from 1 species
GGCACAGAUUGACUGACUGAACGGAGUCAGCUACCACAGGGGGGACUUCCCGACUCAAGCCAAAUAGAUUGACGUGUCUCGGCCUAAGGGGCUGCAAUAGUUUUAAGUAACACACCGAGGGAAGCUUGGCAACCAGUUUCUGCCUCUGUGGGAGGCAGCAGAGUGCGAUAGUACAGUGUGUCCUGCAGCACAUGGGAACUUUAAACUUCCCAUGGAAGCUUAACCUGUCACGGCACAGGCUAGACAGUACUUUUUCCAUGGCAGAAAUGGACCCUUCCUCUCCUACAGUUAUAGACUAGACGAGAGCUAAAGAGACUAUGCAAAGAGUGUAAUAGAAGGGAGGUGUGCUCUGCUGCCAGCUACAUAUGCUCUUGUACAGUGGUGACCCCUUUCACGUAGCAAACCUUGAUGUGUGACCCCCCUUUUAAAUUAAAAACACUUUUUUACAUAUUUAACACCAUUAUAAAUGCUGGAGGCAAAGUGGGGUUUGGGGUGGAGGCUGACAGCUCACAACCCUCUGAGGGGUUCUGACCCCCAGUUUGAGAACCCCUACUCUAGUAGUUCCUCCAUAGCCGUUCUCUUUAAUACUGUUGCCACAGAGGUGGGAGGAUUUUAUAAGAGUACAAUAUGAGGUCAGGUUUGAAGGCACCAAACAGAAUGAAGCACUGCAUUUUACUCUGCAGACUUGUUUAUGAGAAACUCACAAAGGAAGCAGACAGCUUGGCAGAAUACCAGAAACUAAUGAAAAAGCAUGAUAUUGCUUUGACCCAGUUAAACAAGAGUUUUGACCAGGUAGGAUAAGCUAACUGUUGUCUAAACCACCUUGACCUGUGAAGUGUUGUAGUAGAUAAACAAAGGGCUAAAAAUUCAUUGCAUAAUUAUUUAGCCUUACAGAAACAAUUAACACUUAGAUUGUCUGUUCUUUAGGGCAGGGACCGUUGCUGUGUUGCAUGGACAGGGCCUCGCACAGUGGGCCUUGAUGCUUAGUUGAGGCCUGUAAACACUACUGCAAUACCAAUAUUAGUAAUCAGCACUGUGGCAGUUGAUCUAGCGGGU